rnacentral:sRNA from 1 species
UUACAUAAUGAAAUCGUGUUGGAAGUUUUGAUAAUAACAUGUCCACUUAGACGUGACUAUGUGGAAAUAAUUGAUUCUCAUAUGCAAAGUAAAAUACUCUUAACUUAGAAGUUCAACGAUAUUAUCAAUUUAUCGAACCAAAAUCAUAUGAUACCAAACAAGCUGAUCAAAUGGAUAUAAAAUUCAAUACUGGAAUUGGCCAAUUUGGUUUAUCUACAACCUGGUGGUUCAUGGAAUCGAAAAAUAAAUUAUUUAAGAGCAAAAACAGAAAACAAUGGAAAAAACGAAGAGGAUGUGAAUAUGUGUUGAUAUUACCAUGGCAGUUCUUUAAAUCCAACAGAUCCUCUCUUAUAAAAAUCAGAUUCAUAUUCUGAAGUUGGUUAUCUGAAAAAUUCUCCUUAAUCAAAGCAGACACGGAGAAAUCGGGAGAUCUGAUUAACUGGAAAAAUAAAGUUGAAUCUGAUUGUUCAAUCAAUCUCUCUUUUUCUAGAAAGCUGAUGAUUUAUUGAAGAAGGAAGAAAGAAAGAAGCUGAUGAUUUCUUCUUUGCAAACGUUCAAACAGCUUUUUUCUUU